rnacentral:rRNA from 1 species
GAUGAACGCUGGCGGCGUGCCUAAUACAUGCAAGUCGAGCGAACAGACGAGGAGCUUGCUCCUCUGACGUUAGCGGCGGACGGGUGAGUAACACGUGGAUAACCUACCUAUAAGACUGGGAUAACUUCGCGAAACCGGAGCUAAUACCGGAUAAUAUAUUGAACCGGAUGGUUCAAUAGUGAAAGACGGUUUUGCUGUCACUAAUAGAUGGAUCCGCGCCGCAUUAGCUAGUUGGUAAGGUAACGGCUUACCAAGGCUACGAUGCGUAGCCGACCUGAGAGGGUGAUCGGCCACACUGGAACUGAGACACGGUCCAGACUCCUACGGGAGGCAGCAGUAGGGAAUCUUCCGCAAUGGGCGAAAGCUUGACGGAGCAACGCCGCGUGAGUGAUGAAGGUCUUCGGAUCGUAAAACUCUGUUAGUAGGGAAGAACAAAAGUGUAAGUAACUAUGCACGUCUUGACGGUACCUAAUCAAAAAGCCACGGCUAACUACGUG